rnacentral:rRNA from 1 species
GACGAACGCUGGCGGCGUGCCUAAUACAUGCAAGUCGAACGAACUCUGGUAUUGAUUGGUGCUUGCAUCAUGAUUUACAUUUGAGUGAGUGGCGAACUGGUGAGUAACACGUGGGAAACCUGCCCAGAAGCGGGGGAUAACACCUGGAAACAGAUGCUAAUACCGCAUAACAACUUGGACCGCAUGGUCCGAGUUUGAAAGAUGGCUUCGGCUAUCACUUUUGGAUGGUCCCGCGGCGUAUUAGCUAGAUGGUGGGGUAACGGCUCACCAUGGCAAUGAUACGUAGCCGACCUGAGAGGGUAAUCGGCCACAUUGGGACUGAGACACGGCCCAAACUCCUACGGGAGGCAGCAGUAGGGAAUCUUCCACAAUGGACGAAAGUCUGAUGGAGCAACGCCGCGUGAGUGAAGAAGGGUUUCGGCUCGUAAAACUCUGUUGUUAAAGAAGAACAUAUCUGAGAGUAACUGUUCAGGUAUUGACGGUAUUUAACCAGAAAGCCACGGCUAACUACGUGCCAGCAGCCGCGGUAAUACGUAGGUGGCAAGCGUUGUCCGGAUUUAUUGGGCGUAAAGCGAGCGCAGGCGGUUUUUUAAGUCUGAUGUGAAAGCCUUCGGCUCAACCGAAGAAGUGCAUCGGAAACUGGGAAACUUGAGUGCAGAAGAGGACAGUGGAACUCCAUGUGUAGCGGUGAAAUGCGUAGAUAUAUGGAAGAACACCAGUGGCGAAGGCGGCUGUCUGGUCUGUAACUGACGCUGAGGCUUCGAAAGUAUGGGUAGCAAACAGGAUUAGAUACCCUGGUAGUCCAUACCGUAAACGAUGAAUGCUAAGUGUUGGAGGGUUUCCGCCCUUCAGUGCUGCAGCUAACGCAUUAAGCAUUCCGCCUGGGGAGUACGGCCGCAAGGCUGAAACUCAAAGGAAUUGACGGGGGCCCGCACAAGCGGUGGAGCAUGUGGUUUAAUUCGAAGCUACGCGAAGAACCUUACCAGGUCUUGACAUACUAUGCAAAUCUAAGAGAUUAGACGUUCCCUUCGGGGACAUGGAUACAGGUGGUGCAUGGUUGUCGUCAGCUCGUGUCGUGAGAUGUUGGGUUAAGUCCCGCAACGAGCGCAACCCUUAUUAUCAGUUGCCAGCAUUAAGUUGGGCACUCUGGUGAGACUGCCGGUGAAAACCGGAGGAAGGUGGGGAUGACGUCAAAUCAUCAUGCCCCUUAUGACCUGGGCUACACACGUGCUACAAUGGAUGGUACAACGAGUUGCGAACUCGCGAGAGUAAGCUAAUCUCUUAAAAGCCAUUUCUCAGUUCGGAUUGUAGGCUGCACUCGCCUACAUGAAGUCGGAAUCGCUAGUAAUCGCGGAUCAGCAUGCCGCGGUGAAUACGUUCCCGGGCCUUGUACACACCGCCCGUCACACCAUGAGAGUUUGUAACACCCAAAGUCGGUGGGGUAACCUUUUAGGAACCAGCCGCCUAAGGUGGGACAGAUGAUUAGGGUGA